rnacentral:rRNA from 1 species
UACGGGGGGGGCAAGCGUUGUUCGGAAUUACUGGGCGUAAAGGGCUCGUAGGCGGCCAACUAAGUCAGACGUGAAAUCCCUCGGCUUAACCGGGGAACUGCGUCUGAUACUGGAUGGCUCGAGUUUGGGAGAGGGAUGCGGAAUUCCAGGUGUAGCGGUGAAAUGCGUAGAUAUCUGGAGGAACACCGGUGGCGAAAGCGGCUUCCUGGUCCGACACCGACGUUCAGGCACGAAAGCGUGGGGAGCAAACAGG